GAGGCAGGAAUCAGAUUGUCCCUGAGAGCCUCCAGAGCGAGGAAGCAUGGUCUGCCAGCACUGUGACUUUGGCCCAGGGAUACUGAUUUUGGACUUCUGGCCUCCAGAAUUGUGAGAAAGUUGCCUUGAGCAGUGCUAAAGGAGGGGCUGGAGAGAACAAGCUACAUGGUUCAGGAAAAUCCCCCCUCAAUUCCCCAGGGAGCCAGAUAUUCUGAAUCCAUUUAUAAACACCAUCAAUGAUGAUCCUUCAAUGGAGAGAUCCAUCAAUGAUACAGAAAAGCAGUGUCUAGUUGAAAGAAAAGAAAACAGUCUGGUCCAUGGGACUUGCAACACUGAAACAGAAAGCGUUUCACCAAGAUGUCAAAACAGGAAGAACUUCUGACAUAAUCAGCACUGAUAGUAGCACAAGAAAAUACUGGCUUGUCUUUCUGAUGAAGAACUCUAUUAAAGGAUGAUCUGCAUUGAGUUUGAUUUUAAGAGUGAUAACAUAGGACUGUGUUGCUUGCAUAUUGAAUUUCCAAAGCUCAAUGAUCUCUGACUAUGCAAAGAACUGUUUUUACGUGGUCAUAUAUGUCAAAUAAAGUGAAAAUGAAAGUGAA